GCGAUAUUAAAACACAGUAAAAGACUGAGACUGGAGGAAGGACCUCUUUAAUCUGUGGUUCACUGCAUUAUUUUGAGUGCUAAAGACGGAUUUUAGAAUUCUUGAAGGAGGGGUAAAAUCCGAUUGAUAUAGGAAGACUUUCCAUGGCGAAGGCAUUUACCGAUUUGGUUCUGACGCUAGGUACUAAAGCUUGGGUAGAAAGAGGAUUAGAGACCUCGUAUGCCAUGCCUUAAACAAUGAGUGUUCAACGUCUUAGAAUACUCUGGACCACCUUGCGGUGGUAUCCUUUGAGGAUUAUUGGGGGUUUGAAGUUAACGCGCGAAACACCGCCUGGGGAAUGUGGCCGCAAGGUUAAACUCAAAGGAAUUGACGGAGGCUUAUACAAAGAGUGGAGCAUGUGGUUUAAUUCGAGACGGCUGCCCAGCUCAAGUAUGUGGYUUARWUCUSGAGCCGCAAGGUUAAACUCAAAGGAAUUGACGGAGGCUUAUACAAAGAGUGGAGCAUGUGGUUUAAUUCGAGA
rnacentral:rRNA from 1 species